rnacentral:rRNA from 1 species
GACGAACGCUGGCGGCGUGCUUAACACAUGCAAGUCGAACGGAAAGGCCCUGCUCUUGUGGGGUGCUCGAGUGGCGAACGGGUGAGUAACACGUGAGUAACCUGCCCUUGACUUUGGGAUAACUUCAGGAAACUGGGGCUCAUACCGGAUAGGAGCUCCUGCUGCAUGGUGGGGGUUGGAAAGUUUCGGCGGUUGGGGAUGGAAUCGCGGCUUAUCAGCUUGUUGGUGGGGUAGUGGCUUACCAAGGGUUUGACGGGUAGCCGGCCUGAGAGGGUGACCGGCCACAUUGGGACUGAGAUACGGACCAGACGCCUACGGGAGGCAGAAGUGGAGAAUAUUGCACAAUGGGCGGAAGCCUGAGACAGAAGCGCCGCGUGCGGGAUGACGGCCUUCGGGGUGUAAACCGCUGUCGCCUGAGACGAAGCGGGAGUGACGGUAAUUGAUAAAGAAGCACCGGCUAACUACGUG